rnacentral:rRNA from 1 species
GAUGAACGCUGGCGGCGUGCCUAAUACAUGCAAGUCGAACGCUGGAAAUCUAGCUUGCUAGAUUGAAGGAGUGGCGAACGGGUGAGUAAUACAUAAGCAACCUACCCACGAAGACUGGGAUAAUCUCUGGAAACGGGGACUAAUACCGGAUAGGUAAUCGGAAGGCAUCUUCUGAUUCUUAAAGGUUAAAAACACUGGUGGAUGGGCUUAUGGCGCAUUAGUUAGUUGGUGAGGUAACGGCCCACCAAGACGAUGAUGCGUAGCCGGCCUGAGAGGGUGAACGGCCACAUUGGGACUGAGACACGGCCCAGACUCCUACGGGAGGCAGCAGUAGGGAAAUUUCGGCAAUGGGGGAAACCCUGACCGAGCAACGACGCGUGAGUGAUGACGGCCUUCGGGUUGUAAAGCUCUGUUGUAAGGGAAGAACGGUAGAUAGAGAAUAUCUAAAUGACGGUACCUGACCAGAAAGCCACGGCUAACUACGUG